CCUACGGGGGGCAGCAGUAGGGAAUAUUGCUCAAUGGGGGAAACCCUGAAGCAGCAACGCCGCGUGGAGGAUGAAGGUUCUCGGAUUGUAAACUCCUUUUGUUAGAGAAGAUAAUGACGGUAUCUAACGAAUAAGCACCGGCUAACUCCGUGCCAGCAGCCGCGGUAAUACGGAGGGUGCAAGCGUUACUCGGAAUCACUGGGCGUAAAGAGCGCGUAGGCGGGAUAGCAAGUCAGAUGUGAAAUGCUAUGGCUUAACCAUAGAACUGCAUUUGAAACUGUUAUUCUAGAGUAUGGGAGAGGUAGGUGGAAUGCUUGGUGUAGGGGUAAAAUGCGUAGAGAUCAAGAGGAAUACUCAUUGCGAAGGCGACCUGCUAGAACAUAACUGACGCUGAUGCGCGAAAGCGUGGGGAGCAAACAGGAUUAGAUACCCUUGUAGUC
rnacentral:rRNA from 1 species